CACCAUGCCUGGCUGUUUUGUAUUUUUGGUAGAGAUAGGUGGGGGUGGGGAGGGGGGUUUUGGCUAUGUUACCCUGAGCUCAAAGAGAUCCGCCUGCCUCUGCUGCUGAAGUGCUAGGAUUACAGGCCUGCACCACCACACCCGGCUGCUGUAAAGACUUAUUUCCGCACAGCUGAGACAAGUUUUAGGAAGUUUGCUAAAAGACCCCUGGAGACCUCCUCUUUGUGGCCUCCCUGUUACCGUGUUUAAUUUGAUUGAACUUUUCUGCCCUCUUGCUUUCUGCUUCCUGGGUUCAAGUGAUUCUCCUGCCUCAGCCUCCUGAGUAGAUGGGACUAUAGGCACCCACCACCAUGCCUGGCUGUUUUGUAUUUUUGGUAGAGAUAGGUGGGGGUGGGGAGGGGGAUUUUGGCUAUGUUACUCUGAGCUCAAAGAGAUCCGCCUGCCUCUGCUGCUGAAGUGCUAGGAUUACAGGCCUGCACCACCACACCCGGCUGCUGUAAAGACUUAUUUCCACACAGCUGAGACAAGUUUUAGGAAGUUUGCUAAAAGACCCCUGGAGACCUCCUCUUUGUGGCCUCCCUGUUACCGUGUUUAAUUUGAUUGAACUUUUCUGCCCUCUUGCUUUUCAACUUCUCUAAUAGUCUCUCAUUAAACCAAUUCUAAGAACCACCAAAAAAGGGAAAAAUUUUUUUCAAAGCAGUAAAAUGAUGUGGACUGUUAGAAUGUAAAAUAUAUGAAAUAAGUUCUUACAUGUUAGUGCUGCUCUGACAUAGGGACAUAUUAUUGAGAAUCAGCUUUUGCUCAGUUUUCAGAGAAAUGGAAUAAUCGUAUUGCUGAUGUACAUAAGCAAGUUGAAGAAUUGUCUGAAAGAAAAUAUGGUAUGUCUAAACUGGAAAAGUCCUGUAAUCCUGUGUUCAUGAGCAUUUACACAGUGGAGUUACUCUUCAUCAUGGGGGUACCAUGGACAGGCCCAGGGCUGCUGAAAUGAACUUACGAAUUCAACAGGUGAAGAUUUACAGUUUGAUUAAACAGCUUCAGGAGGUAGGUCUUCAAUCUUAAGUCAGAUUAGAAGAUUAUGUGAAAUAAUUAUUUAAGGUUUAACAUUGAAUUCUUUUAAUGGUACCCUCCACAUGAAAUAAUAUGCCUCUAAGUAUUAAUUAUGUGCCAGGACAAGAGAAUUCGUGUUGUCAAAAUUCUCAUACUCUCUAGGACAGUGAACUCAUUUUCUUUUUAUUAACCCAUUACAAAUACAUGUAAAUGUUGCAUUUACGGGUAGACAGAACUGGAAGAACAGUAUUUGUCCUACUUUUGAGAUGCAAGAUUUAUCUGGUGUAAUGCAUUGAACAGAUUAUUAUUGAAGUCUACACCGGUCAACUGAACAAGCAUUUGUCAUAUGUCCAUGAUACGUAGGACAGAAGGUUUUCUUUUAGAGUGUAGAGCCAUGCAUAUUAUCUUUUAAUUAGAUUUAGUUAGAUAGGUUUUUAAAGAAAUAGAAGUAUAAUUGAUUUUCUUGUUUUGGCUCUGGAGUGGGGACGAUACAGAAUGGAAUGACACUGUUUAGAUUUGCUAAAAUGGAAGGAUAGCCAGUGAGAUCAUAUCCCAUCUCCCUGGACCUUUGGCUUUUACAGGUUGAGCUAUAAGAACAAUUAGAAAAAUGGAUAUCAUUUAAACACAGUAUGUAGAAAAGA
ensembl:lncRNA